rnacentral:rRNA from 1 species
GAUGAACGCUAGCGGCAGGCUUAACACAUGCAAGUCGAGGGGCAGCGCGAUGUAGCAAUACAUUGGCGGCGACCGGCGCACGGGUGCGUAACACGUAUGGAAUCUGCCCUGUACUGGGGAAUAGCCCCGGAGAAAUCCGGAUUAAUGCCCCAUAACAGACGAAGUGGCAUCACUUUGUCUUGAAAGCUCCGGCGGUACAGGAUGACCAUGCGCACGAUUAGCUAGUUGGUGAGGUAACGGCUCACCAAGGCUACGAUCGUUAGGGGGCCUGAGAGGGUUAUCCCCCACACUGGUACCUGAGACACGGGACCAGACUCCUACGGGAGGCAGCAGUGAGGAAUAUUGCGCAAUGGAGGCAACUCUGACGCAGCCAUGCCGCGUGCAGGAAGAAGGCGCUACGCGUUGUAAACUGCUUUUACCCGGGAAGAAACCCCUCUACGUGUGGAGGGUUGACGGUACCGGAGGAAUAAGCACCGGCUAACUUCGUGCCAGCAG